CCCUGCAGGUAAAUGCAAUGUGAAUGGAAAAUGUAACCUAACCUCCCUCUGCUCUCCUGAAGGUCAUCAUGGCACAACUCACUGGCUCCCACGUUCUGAAAGCAGCAGAGCUGCGUAAAGUGCCCACUAGUGACCAGUACAGGGAGCUCACGGUCUCAGAUGUCUUUGUUACCUGCAGGUGUGUUGCUGUCUUCUCCUUGACUUUUAGGGCUCAAAGCACAUUGACUGCCCUUCAGGAAAAUGGGCGUUAGAUAUCAAUUUAGAUUUGAGGAGGUG
rnacentral:lncRNA from 1 species